GUCAUUGCUGGGUGGAUUAGUGGCGAACGGGUGAGUAACACGUGAGUAACCUGCCCUUGACUCUGGGAUAAGCCUGGGAAACUGGGUCUAAUACCGGAUAGAAACGUCCACCGCAUGGUGGUUGUUGGAAAGAUUUAUCGGUCAUGGAUGGACUCGCGGCCUAUCAGCUUGUUGGUGAGGUAAUGGCUCACCAAGGCGACGACGGGUAGCCGGCCUGAGAGGGUGACCGGCCACACUGGGACUGAGACACGGCCCAGACUCCUACGGGAGGCAGCAGUGGGGAAUAUUGCACAAUGGGCGAAAGCCUGAUGCAGCGACGCCGCGUGAGGGAUGACGGCCUUCGGGUUGUAAACCUCUUUCAGUAGGGAAGAAGCGAAAGUGACGGUACCUGCAGAAGAAGCACCGGCUAACUACGUGCCAGCAGCCGCGGUAAUACGUAGGGUGCGAGCGUUAUCCGGAAUUAUUGGGCGUAAAGAGCUCGUAGGCGGUUUGUCGCGUCUGUCGUGAAAGUCCGGGGCUUAACCCCGGAUCUGCGGUGGGUACGGGCAGACUAGAGUGCAGUAGGGGAGACUGGAAUUCCUGGUGUAGCGGUGGAAUGCGCAGAUAUCAGGAGGAACACCGAUGGCGAAGGCAGGUCUCUGG
rnacentral:rRNA from 1 species